rnacentral:rRNA from 1 species
GGGGGCGAGCGUUGUUCGGAAUUACUGGGCGUAAAGCGUGCGCAGGCGGUUUGUUAAGACAGAUGUGAAAUCCCCGGGCUUAACCUGGGAACUGCAUUUGUGACUGGCAAGCUAGAGUAUGGCAGAGGGGGGUAGAAUUCCACGUGUAGCAGUGAAAUGCGUAGAGAUGUGGAGGAAUACCGAUGGCGAAGGCAGCCCCCUGGGCCAAUACUGACGCUCAUGCACGAAAGCGUGGGGAGCAAACAGG